rnacentral:rRNA from 1 species
GCCUCGCCUGUUUACCAAAAACAUCGCCUCUUGCAAAACUAAUGAAUAAGAGGUCCUGCCUGCCCCGUGACCAUGUGUUCAACGGCCGCGGUAUUUUGACCGUGCAAAGGUAGCGCAAUCACUUGUCUUUUAAAUAAAGACCUGUAUGAAUGGCAAGACGAGGGCUUGACUGUCUCCUUUUUCAAGUCAAUGAAAUUGAUCUUCCCGUGCAGAAGCGGGAAUUUUUCCAUAAGACGAGAAGACCCUAUGGAGCUUCAGACACUAAGACAGAUUAGGUCAAAGCCCCCUAAUAAAGGACUGAACUGACUAACCCCUGCCCUAAUGUCUUCGGUUGGGGCGACCCCGGGGAAUUACAAAACCCCCGAGUGGAAAGAGAGCACCCCCCCCCCUUUUACUCUUACAACUAAGAGCCUCCGCUCUAAUAAACAGAAUUUCUGACCAAAACAGAUCCGGCAAAGCCGAUCAACGGACCAAGUUACCCUAGGGAUAACAGCGCAAUCCUCUUUCAGAGUCCCUAUCGACAAGAGGGUUUACGACCUCGAUGUUGGAUCAGGACAUCCUAAUGGUGCAGCCGCUAUUAAGGGUUCGUUUGUUCAACGAUUAAAGUCCUACGUGAUCUGAUUCCAAAACCGG